UUCGGAUUGCAGUCUGCAACNCGAGUGCAUGAAGCUGGAAUCGCUAGUAAUCGCGGAUCAGAAUGCCGCGGUGAAUACGUUCCCGGGUCUUGUACACACCGCCGUCACACCAUGGGAGCCGACAACGCCCGAAGUCAGUGACCUAACCGAGAGGGAGGAGCUGCCGAAGGCGGGGUUGGUAACUGGGGUGAAGUCGUAACAAGGUACC
rnacentral:rRNA from 1 species